UCGAGAAUCAUUCACAAUGGGGGAAACCCUGAUGGUGCGACGCCGCGUGGGGGAAUGAAGGUCUUCGGAUUGUAAACCCCUGUCAUGUGGGAGCAAAUUAAAAAGAUAGUACCACAAGAGGAAGAGACGGCUAACUCUGUGCCAGCAGCCGCGGUAAUACAGAGGUCUCAAGCGUUGUUCGGAAUCACUGGGCGAAAAGCGUGCGUAGGCGGUUUCGUAAGUCGUGUGUGAAAGGCGGGGGCUCAACCCCCGGACUGCACAUGAUACUGCGAGACUAGAGUAAUGGAGGGGGAACCGGAAUUCUCGGUGUAGCAGUGAAAUGCGUAGAUAUCGAGAGGAACACUCGUGGCGAAGGCGGGUUCCUGGACAUUAACUGACGCUGAGGCACGAAGGCCAGGGGAGCGAAAGGG
rnacentral:rRNA from 1 species